rnacentral:pre_miRNA from 1 species
UCUUAUGGAUGAGCAAAGAAAGUGGUUUCUUAAGGUGGAAUCUACUCUUGGUGGAGACACUGUUGAA